AACGCACAUUGCGCCCCUUGGUAUUCCGAGGGGCAUGCCUGUUCGAGCGUCAUUACACCACUCAAGCAUUGCUUGGUAUUGGGCACUCGUCCGCCGCAAGGCGGGCGUGCCUCGAAGACCUCGGCGUGGCCUAACCGGCUUCGGGCGUAGUAGAGUUAAAUCGAACGUCUUAUAAGUCUGGAUAGGUUCCACUUUGCCGUAAAACCUUUAUAUUUUCUAGGUUGACCUCGGAUCAGGUAGGGAUACCCGCUGAACUUAA
rnacentral:misc_RNA from 1 species